AUUGAACGCUAGCGGGAUGCUUUACACAUGCAAGUCGAACGAGUGGCGGACGGGUGAGUAAUAUAUCGGAACGUGCCCAGUAGAGGGGGAUAACUAAUCGAAAGAGUGGCUAAUAGCGCAUACUAUUGGAGCGGCCGAUAGCGGAUUAGCUAGUUGGUGGGGUAAAGGCGCACACAGGCAACGAACCGUAGCUGGUUUGAGAGGACGACCAGCCACACUGGGACUGAGACACGGCCCCGACUCCUACGGGAGGCAGCAGUGGGGAAUUUUGGGCAAUGGGGGAAACCCUGAUCCAGCCAUCCCGCGUGUAUGAGAAGGCCUUCGGGUUGUAAAGUACUUUUGGCAGAGAAGCGGUAUCUGCAGAAUAAGCACCGGCUAACUACGUGCCAGCAGCCGCGGUAAUUC
rnacentral:rRNA from 1 species